UCAUUAAUACCCCCAAAAGCACUUAUAUUAAAUUAAACAAACCAUUUUUCCCCCUAAGUAUGGGCGACAGAAAAGGAAUAUUUAGAGCCAUAGAAAAAGUACCGCAAGGGAAUGCUGAAAAAGAAAUGAAACAACUCAGUAAAGUUUAAAAAAGCAGAGAUUUAUGCUCGUACCUUUUGCAUCAUGAUUUAGUCAGUAAAAUACAAGCAAAAAGUACUUUAGUUUGUCUUCCCGAAACUAAGUGAGCUACUCCAAGACAGCCUAAAAUAGGGCCAACCCGUCUCUGUGGCAAAAGAGUGGGAUGAGCUUCGAGUAGAGGUGAUAAACCUACCGAACUUAGUUAUAGCUGGUUGCCUGAGAAAUGAAUAGAAGUUCAGCUUUUUGGUUUCUCCCUCCAACCUGCCUAACUACAACCGAACCAAAGAAACCAAAAAAGUUAGUUAAAGGGGGUACAGCUCCUUUAAACAAGAUACAACUUCACCAGCCGGGUAAAGAUCAUAUAUAACCAAGGUAAGAUGUUUUAGUGGGCCUAAAAGCAGCCACCUAUAAGAAAGCGUCAAAGCUCCUUCAUACCACCACCCCUCAAAUUCCGAUAAUACAUCCUAAACCCGCUAGUUUUAUCAAGCCGCCCCAUGCCGCCAUGGGGGUGAUUAUGCUAAAAUGAGUAAUAAGAAAAACCACUUUUUCUCCUUGCAUUCGUGUAAAUCGAAACGGACUCCCCAUCGAACAUUAAUCGGCCCCAAAAAAAGAGGGUAAUGAAUUAUCAACCCCAAUAACAAGAAAAGCAUCCAAAUAUCAACCGUUAACCUCACACUAGCGUGCUUACAAGGAAAGACUAAAAGAAAAAGAAGGAACUCGGCAAAUACAAGCCUCGCCUGUUUACCAAAAACAUCGCCUCUUGAAAACUAAGCAUAAGAGGUCC
rnacentral:rRNA from 1 species